rnacentral:rRNA from 1 species
GACGAACGCUGGCGGCGUGCCUAAUACAUGCAAGUAGGACGCAGUUGCGAACGGGUGAGUAACGCGUCGGUAAAUACCUAGUAGUGGGGGCUAACUAUUGGAAACGAUAGCUAAUACCGCAUACUAGUAGAUGGACCUGCGUUGUAUUAGCUAGUAGGUAGGGUAAAGGCCUACCUAGGCAACGAUACAUAGUCGGCCCUGGAAGGAGGUCGGCCACACUGGGACUGGGACACGGCCCAAACUCCUACGGGAGGCAGCAGUAGGGAAUCUUCGGCAAAGGGGGGAAACCUGACCGAGCAACGCCGCGGGAGUGAAGAAGGUUUUCGGGUCGUAAAACUCUGUUGUUAAGGGAGCGGUACUUAACCAGAAAGGGACGGCUAACUACGUGCCAGCAGCCGCGGUAAUAC